rnacentral:rRNA from 1 species
UACGGGGGGAGCAAGCGUUGUUCGGAUUUACUGGGCGUAAAGGGCGCGUAGGCGGCGCAACAAGUCACUUGUGAAAUCUCCGGGCUUAACUCGGAAAGGUCAAGUGAUACUGUUGUGCUAGAGUGCGGAAGGGGCAACUGGAAUUCUCGGUGUAGCGGUGAAAUGCGUAGAUAUCAGGAGGAACACCUGCGGUGUAGACGGCUGGCUGGACCACUACUGACGCUGAGGCACGAAAGCGUGGGGAGCAAACAGG